rnacentral:tRNA from 1 species
ACUAUUUUGGCAGAUUAGUGCAAUGGACUUAGAAUCUUUAUAAAUAGAUAUUUAUUAUUCUAUAAGUAGUAUUU